rnacentral:rRNA from 1 species
CCUACGGGAGGCUGCAGUGGGGGAUAUUGCACAAUGGGGGGAACCCUGAUGCAGCGACGCCGCGUGGGUGAAGAAGCGCCUCGGCGCGUAAAGCCCUGUCAGCAGGGAAGAAAAUGACAGUGCCUGAAGAAGAAGCCCCUGCUAACUACGUGCCAGCAGCCGCGGGAAUACGUAGGGGGCAAGCGUUAUCCGGAUUUACUGGGUGUAGAGGGGGCGCAGACGGCGAUGCAAGCCAGGAGUGAAAGCCCCGGGCCCAACCCCGGGACUGCUCUUGGAACUGGGAGGCUGGAGUGCAGGAGAGGGAGGCAGAAUUCCUGGUGUAGCGGUGAAAUGCGUAGAUAUCAGGAGGAACACCGGUGGCGAAGGCGGCCUGCUGGACUGCAACUGACGUUGAGGCGCGAAAGCGUGGGGAGCAAACAGGAUUAGAUACCCCAGUAGUC